GUCACUUUGGCCGAGCGGUUAAGGCGGUGGUUUUAAGCACCACUCCCCAUUGGGAUCGUGGGUUCGAUCCCCACAGGUGGCA